rnacentral:ribozyme from 1 species
UGCCCAGCAACUCUAAUCCCUACCUUCUCGCGGUACCGGCCGGGGUACGAGCUACCUUAGGGAAGAUCGGGUAACUAACCCGUAUGCUGACAGGGAAGG